UACGGAGGGUGCAAGCGUUAUCCGGAUUUACUGGGUUUAAAGGGUGCGUAGGUGGGUCUGUAAGUCAGUGGUGAAAUCUUCGAGCUUAACUCGGAAACUGCCAUUGAUACUAUAGGUCUUGAAUCAUCUGGAGGUGAGCGGAAUAUGUCAUGUAGCGGUGAAAUGCUUAGAUAUGACAUAGAACACCGAUUGCGAAGGCAGCUCACUACGGAUGUAUUGACACUGAGGCACGAAAGCGUGGGG
rnacentral:rRNA from 1 species